UUGAAGAGGGUGUGGAGAGAGGUGGUUUAAAUAAAAAUGUGUAGACUCACUCUGGUCAGUGUUACACCAGUGUAGCUCUGUAGACUUCGCUCCUGAUUUACGGCAACACUGGAAGAAACUCGGUCCCUGCAACGUCUUCUGCUUCUCUCUGCAUCAUUCAGUAUCCAGAUUGAUUAACGUAAGGGAGAAUGGUAGACAGUGGGUCAUGUCAAAAGCGUGCAUGUAAAUAGCAUGGAGAGAAGGCUCAUAGUACAACGCGUUCAGUAGAAAGCAUACUUAGUGCAAACAUGCACACGAUGAACUAUGUUAUAAUAGCAUAAAUGCGUGUCAUGUAGUGGAGAAGUAUCUGAGCACGAAGGAGACUGGAGGACACAAGAAUGAGGAAGGUGAAGGAAAUGCUCUUGAACAGUGGUCUUUACCAAUCCCAGAUUUAAGUAAUAUCAGCAGUGAUUAACUCAGUAAUGGAUGUAACCCCUGCAGCCCCCAAAGCUCACCAGGCGCUCAAUCCAAUGCGGUAACAUUAAAUCAAGUCUCAGGCCAAUCAUAAAAUAACCGCUAGUGGUUAACACCGAGGGCCUCGCUGCUGGGGAACCCGGGACCUCCUCUGAAAUUCAAACUUUUGGGCUGUGUUUAAGCAAUCUUCCGAACCUCUGGUGAAGCACACAGGGCUGUGAUCGGACAGACUGCAGGAAUUCAAGUUGUGAAAGAAGUGCCGCAUGCUGCAGUACCUUCCUGCUGGUGACCUGUGAAUCCACGCUUAGCGCUUAAUUCUCCUACCUUUGCGGAGGAGUUUGUGCUGAGAACUUGACCUUUAAUAAGUGUCCAUCCGUGGCAAAAACCCAGAAGGUCAGGCGUGAAUGUUUCUGAAGGGGAAGUGGAGCGAGCUGCAGGUGUGUUCGUUACCGUGCAUGGGGCUGGCACAGAUGGGAGCCUAAUGCAAGCUGAUCCGUGGUAUUGAACCGCCACCCCUGCGCUCCGCGUGUGCACAGCCGCCGUCUCCUUGGUGUAAACAUCAGCGAAGGAGAUGGCCCUGUUCCUCUGUCAGCUUUAACAGCAGCGGGAUGUAAAGCAGCUCCUCUGCCUUAGCACUCACACAGCCUGGAAAUGAAAGGACAGACCCCACUGUAACGGUUACAUCAAUCCAGUGAUGUGAAACAUAACCAGGAGAGCACACCGAUGUGACAGCUUCUGUGAUUCUCACCCUUCUGAGCCGUGCCGUUGGCUGCAUCCAUCCUCUGCUGGGACGGGAGGCAGGCCGGAGCUCAGGGCGAGCGCUGCUGGAUGGACCGGCAGCACACGUGGGCUUUGUCAAGCAUGAACAGAAACAUGAAUUUGUGCUCGGACACCAUGUGAACUCGCUGUCUUCCCAUCCAGAAAGAUGUAUAGGCCUGAUUAUUUGAAGUGGGAACACAGCACACCUUGUGGAGCCCAGGCCCCGAGCCGCAGUUAGCUGAGCAGCUACACUUGGUCUGCAUCUGCCUUUUACCAGGCAGUCUGGGGAGCGGUUGCCUCAGCUUUAAGGGAGUUCCUCGUUAAUAACCAUCAUGAUUUUGUAGGCAUGUGUAUUUUUAGCCUGUUUCUGUGAUUCAUGGUAUUAUUUUUUGAAAAAAACAUAGUGCAACCAGCUUAAAUUUGAUCUGUGGCAGGUUUAUAGAUUGGUAGGAUGUAGAUUUCCUUUCUUUAGCAGGGAAGACUUGGUCAGAUUUGUAUCAGCAGCAUCAGUGCUUUAUACGAAAAUGCAAAUGCCUAAAAUAGAACAAGGAGCUCAAUUUAUGUGCAGAUGACUGAGGGAAUAGAAAUCCCUCUGACCUCCUGCAGCAUCAUCUGGAAUCUCGACCGGUUUGCGAACAGGCUGUUUAUAUUAUUAAUGUCUUGAAUAAUGAAUCACUGUACAUGUAAAUGAGCUAUUGGUAUAACACUUCUGAAUAAAUCUGUUUCAGGCACAUUUCGAUGAUUGUUUGGCCAUUAACUUUAGUAAAUAUAAGAAUGUGAAAGGAAAAGAAAAAAGGAUAUAUAAUUUCCUUAUUAUUUAGCUUUGUUUUAAAUGAAACCCUUGGAAAGAUGUAUAUCAUUUUAAUUUUUGUUCCAGAGGCUUUUAUGUAAAUUAAUAGCAUUGGAGAAUUGGCAAGAACACUCAUUCAAUUUGGAACAGCCAUGAUUAUAAGCUUUACAUUAAUAUAACAACAAUUUAACAGUGGCUGAUAGAUGGGACACAACCAUGUAAUUAUCAAAAGUGAGCCACUUUCUUGAUCUCUAAUUAGUUCUAUAAGCAAAUAUAGUUUUGCUGGAACUAAUUGCUGUAUUAUAGCUGGCAGUGAGGUGAGUGCUGAACUUGAGUUCAGGUACCGAGCAUGGAGUGUUGCACAUCCAAAGAUUUUUCUAUUUUCUGAUUUAAUCAGAUGUAUAAUUCAAUUAUACGUGUUGGGCAAAAGCAAGCAUUUGUGCGUGUAGGAAUAACCUUCUCCUUGCUGCAGUCUCCUCUGCUUUAUUAAUAGCCAGCAAUGACCCAGUCUGGGGUUUGUUUCUGUCUGGGAACAGAGGUCUAAGGAACCGCCGUUACAGCGAGAACUGUGAGCAGGUAGUGUUCUAUACUGCUUAGCAGAGACAAAGGAAAUUAUGACGUGGACGGGGAGCAAUAAUUUUUUUUUUUUUGCCUC